AUAUAAUUGUUUGGUCGUAUAGACCAAAUGGGUCAAAUGAUGGUGAUAACAUCAUAUGACCAUAUCGACUAAUGUUGGUUGUUAAGUCAUAUGUUUACAGGAACGAAUAGAAUUUUGGAUAAUUGCGUCAUGAUAGAAUAUUGAAUUAAUAAUAGCAAGGCAUAAACGGGUCUAUACGUUGACUCGAGCCAGGUACGCUUAUAUAUAGAUUUAUAGUUAAAAGUGUUUAACUUCCCUUCACGGGACACUCGCGUCUGAAGAUGAUGAGAGUUGACCAAAUUGUGGAUAGGUAAAACGGGUUAAGAAUUCAUAAGAAACCCGUAAUUUGAACCUUGCACAUUAGUAAAUUGAUAUAACGUGAUAUGCAUGACAUUUUGAAAAGGUAAUAAGCAAGUUUGUUUGAUAAAUCACGAACGGGUCAAAAAGUGUCAUAAUUGAAUUUCAAGCCGAGAGCUUGAAAGUUAAAAUUUUGUGAAUUUAGAUGCUGGAUUUUAACUC
rnacentral:lncRNA from 1 species